UACGUAGGAUGCAAGCGUUGUCCGGAUUUAUUGGGUUUAAAGGGUGCGUAGGCGGCCUAUUAAGAUAGUGGUGAAAACGUUCGGCUUAGCCGGAUACCCGCCAUUGAUACUGAUAGACUUGAGUGCGACAGAGGGUGUUGGAAUGUGAGGUGUAGCGGUGAAAUGCUUAGAUAUCACGCAGAACACCAAUUGCGAAGGCAGAUGCCUAUGUCGUAACUGACGCUGAGGCACGAAAGCGUGGGGAGCAAACAGG
rnacentral:rRNA from 1 species